GAGCCCCCCUCCCCGCCGCGCCUCUUAAAGGGGACGCCGCGCCCCGCCUGGUGUGAGGCACCCACAUGAAGGAGGAAUGUCUAGAGGCUGAUUCAUCACACCUCACACCAGAAUUAUGCACCACAGAUGCCCACAUCUCAGGGCUAACAUUGGAGAGUUCACCAAAACCAUCAUGAAAUUUUGAUAUCCAGAAUGCUUGAUAGUCAUCUUGAUCUGCAAUAAUGACUUUGUAAUAGAUGUAAUGAAGUGGAAUAACUGCAUCUUGUCAACAUUGUUAUUAACUUUA